UUGGGAUUUAUACUCCCUACCUAACCUAGAGUCCGCUGGCUAGACCAAGAGUCGUCACUGUGGUUGUGAUGAUUAAAUCACUCUUUAAGCAAAUAUUUACAGAUUUCUUUCCAAACGCCAGGCCUGUUCUAGGCUCCAAUUGCUCACUCUGAGUGAUCAUCUCCUGUCAUACUGAAGCACUAAGAACAUCACUACCUCAUCGUGUGUAAACACGGUCUUAUUUCCAGAUUUUAUGGGUAGGGGGGUCCAGUUCCUCUCCUCCAGGCAGUAGAGCAGUGCUACAUCUAGUUCAAGACCAUUUCAAGGUCACAAAUGUUAAUACAGUAUAUAGAAUAUACAUUAUAAACAGAGUAUUUAAGGUUGGAGGAAAGUCCAAGAUAGUCUUGGUAAGUUAGUUAGAACCCAAACAAUGAAGAAAGCAGAUACAUGGCCUUCACUGAAUUACACGGAGCAGACCCUUUGGGAAGGUUGUGUGGCACUGUGGGAAAGAACAUGGGGCUUGGUUUGGGAGGACCUAUCUGUGUGUGCAUGCUUCUUUCCUUACAGGCACUGUGACUUUCCGUGAAUUAUUUACUCACGGAGCUUCUGAUGGCUCCUUUGCAUAAAUAAUGAUAAUAACACAUUUUAUGCCUACCUAACACAAUUGCUCUUACAACCAAACUCUCCUCAUCUUUAAUAAUUAUCCCAUUCAAUUCCAGGCUUGAUCAGUCAGCUGUCAGUCACUAUGCAUUUACUGAGGGCUUGAUGGGAUAUCCAGAGCAUCAUCGGCUUCCCUUCUUCGUGUGGCUAAUUCACCAUGAACAGAAUGGUGGAGAAGAUGUCCCCCUACUACAUCCCGCCCUUUACCUCUGUUGUAGAGAUUUAUUGGAAGAAAGAUGACACCUUGCUCUACUUUAUACCCUGAACCAACUGUGGAUGCAGCAUGAUUUCUGGAGGCUGGGAAGUCCAAGAUAAAGGUGCUGGCUGGCCAAUUGGGUGCCUGGUGAGGAAUCCCUUACUGGUUCCUAUGACCUGACAUGGUGAAGAGCUGGAAACUUGAGUUCUUUCUGAUGUUUCCAAAUCUAAUCUCUCAUCACAGUUUCAU